GAUACAUUUUUCCGAGCGCCUACUGGUACUGACGUCAGCAGUGCCCUUGACCCUUACGAACUAAUGUUAAUUUUUGGCAAAUCCACGCCAACAUGGACGCAUUUCACCCUUUUUGAAUGGCAUUUAAGUGUCGUACUAUUAAUAGCAUUUAUUUGCGUGUGGGGUCGUUAUUCAUCGUUUAUACAAUCCAUUGGAAACAUUCAGCAAACAUUUUUCCAAUACGGCAAUAUUGAUAAUUUAUUGUUAUCGCUCGAAAGGGUUGAGUAAUAACAUCCAGGUUUUUUCCAUUUCCUAAUGACGAUUCUUAUUGAUAUUGUUUGAUGACUAUGUCAAUACAAUAUUGCGAGUUGAUGAAAGGUCAAGUUCAAGGACGGCUGAAAACUUUUAAGUUUUCCUUCCUAGCGUGACACAUGACGCCAAAUCCUAUAAGUCUAUUUUAUUAAAAUUUCAAUUUACGGGAUUUGCAUCUAAAGCGCGAGCAAGUGGAGCAGAUCCGCAAUGAAUUGCUAAUUAACUGCUUGAGACCCGAGCAGGGAGAAGUGACACUUGACUCAGUUUGCUUUCUACGCAUUAAUUUUCACUUUUAUCGGGAGAAGUUUUUUUUUGUUGCAGACUUACCGAUGAUGGCACCGACAGCAACACCACAGAGCGUGCCGAGCAGCAAGAGGUUCUCCGACAACCACUUGCGUACGCCCGUCAUCUCCUUCUUGUCGGAGCGUUCGGUGAACUCGAUCUUGACGGUGUUAUUGUCUUCGGGCAUUUUGGCAAACAGGUACU